GGAUGUGGCUCAGCUGGUAGAGUGCUUGCCUAGCAUGCACAAGGCCCUGGGUUUGAUCCCCAGUACUG
rnacentral:tRNA from 1 species